UAGGGAAUCUUCGGCAAUGGGGGGAACCCUGACCGAGCAACGCCGCGUGAGUGAAGAAGGUUUUCGGAUCGUAAAGCUCUGUUGUUAAGGAAGAACGAGUGUGAGAAUGGAAAGUUCAUACUGUGACGGUACUUAACCAGAAAGGGACGGCUAACUACGUGCCAGCAGCCGCGGUAAUACGUAGGUCCCGAGCGUUGUCCGGAUUUAUUGGGCGUAAAGCGAGCGCAGGCGGUUAGAAAAGUCUGAAGUGAAAGGCAGUGGCUCAACCAUUGUAGGCUUUGGAAACUGUUUAACUUGAGUGCAGAAGGGGAGAGUGGAAUUCCAUGUGUAGCGGUGAAAUGCGUAGAUAUAUGGAGGAACACCGGUGGCGAAGGCGACUUUCUGGCCAUAAUCUGACGCUGAGGUACGAAAGCGUGGGUAGCAAACAGG
rnacentral:rRNA from 1 species